CAGCAAAAAUCUGAAAUUCUCCAAUCCACUCAAAAAUGCUGCCAAAGUGUUGAGUGAAUUGGAAAAUUUCAGAUUUUUGCUGAAAUUGUGACCCCGGGCUUAGAAUUUUUUUUUCACAGGUUAUGUUGUCGAGGGCUGAUUUCAUGUCAUAUGAUAAAAGCCCUCUGUUUCCACCGCCAAACGUUUCAAGGGAGAAUUUGCAACACUUUGGCAGCAUUUUUGAGUGAAUUGGAGAAUUUCAGAUUUUUGCUG